AGCCCAUGCCCCGAGGAAAGGUCUGUGAGACACAGCAAGAUGGUGGCUGCCUAUUGGCCAAGAGAAGAAGCCUCAGAAUGAAACCUGCGGUGCUGACACCUGGAUCUCAGUCUCCUAGCUGGCCAGUACUUGAUAUCCGACUUGAUCCCAGGGACCGUCUUCUGAGCUGCUGAACAAUGACUUUCUGGGAAGCCCUCAGGGAAGGAAGAGGGAAGAAGGUGUCUACUACGUUUGUGCCUGUGUGGAGUUGGCAGGAGCCCACCCACAACUGAAGGCUGUAGUCUUUGCUGGGCCUGGGACCCUGGAGACAAGACGCCAGAGAUCAGAAAGGGCAGGUGGGGGGCACCUGGAUGGCUCAGUGGUUGAGUGUCUGCCUUUGGCUCAGGUCGUGAUCCUGGGAUCCUGGGAUCGAGUCCUGCAUCAGGUUCCCCUCAGGGAGCUUGCUUCUCCCUCUGCCUGUGUCUCUGCCUCUCUCUGUGUGUCUCUCAUGAAUAAAAAAAUAAAAUCUUAAAAAAAAAAAGAGAAAAGAAAGAAAGAAAGGGCAAGUGGAGGAAUUCGAUGCACUUCCAUGUGAAAUACUUUAUGCACAUUAACUCUACAUCCCCUAAUAACCCACUGAGCAGACACAGUACACCAUGCCCCUUCGGGUGACACGUGUAAGCUGACCCCAACCAGGGGUGAACAACACCGAGACCCUCUGUGCCUCUCCUCUCCUAAUUCUCUCAGAAUGGUUUCCCCUGGUUUCAGCAUCACGAUCACCAGCAGCUCCCGCCCCAUCCCUUUACAGCGCUGCCACUUGAAACUAGAGAGGAAAGGGUUUCUCUUUCUCCUAAGGGGUGAAAGCAUCCCAGGGAAGGGCUCUUUGGGAGCUUUCUGUCAGGUGGCUACUCCUUGGACCAAUCGCUGGAGCUGCAGCUGGAGGCCCUUGGCCAGUUGGACAGCGUCAGGGCCUGUUCUCAGAGCAAGGGAGCAGCCCAGGAAAGACACACUCAGAACCCACUGCAGGGGCCCGAAGUGUUCAGCAUCACCGAGGAAGCGAGGACCUGAGACUUUCCUUGAACAAACACACAAGGAUGAAGAUGCAGACAUAUGGAAGGGUCAUCUCCCAGUAGAGAACACAGAGGGAGGAGAUCAAAGCUCAAGAAGGACCUGA
rnacentral:lncRNA from 12 species